rnacentral:sRNA from 1 species
ACCUGAAAUGGGUUUGGAACAUGUUAUGAAAUGUGC